AGGAGCGUCCACCGCAUGGUGGGUGUUGGAAAGAUUUAUCGGUUUUGGAUGGACUCGCGGCCUAUCAGCUUGUUGGUGAGGUAAUGGCUCACCAAGGCGACGACGGGUAGCCGGCCUGAGAGGGUGACCGGCCACACUGGGACUGAGACACGGCCCAGACUCCUACGGGAGGCAGCAGUGGGGAAUAUUGCACAAUGGGCGCAAGCCUGAUGCAGCGACGCCGCGUGAGGGAUGACGGCCUUCGGGUUGUAAACCUCUUUCAGUAGGGAAGAAGCGAAAGUGACGGUACCUGCAGAAGAAGCACCGGCUAACUACGUGCCAGCAGCCGCGGUAAUACGUAGGGUGCGAGCGUUAUCCGGAAUUAUUGGGCGUAAAGAGCUCGUAGGCGGUUUGUCGCGUCUGUCGUGAAAGUCCGGGGCUUAACCCCGGAUCUGCGGUGGGUACGGGCAGACUAGAGUGCAGUAGGGGAGACUGGAAUUCCUGGUGUAGCGGUGGAAUGCGCAGAUAUCAGGAGGAACACCGAUGGCGAAGGCAGGUCUCUGGGCUGUAACUGACGCUGAGGAGCGAAAGCAUGGGGAGCGAACAGGAUUAGAUACCCUGGUAGUCCAUGCCGUAAACGUUGGGCACUAGGUG
rnacentral:rRNA from 1 species